GUUUGUGGCUCAGUGGUAGAGCACUUGCCUACCAUGUUUGAGACCAUGGGUUUGAUCCUCAGCAACA
rnacentral:tRNA from 1 species